ensembl:snoRNA
CGGUCCACCCUAACCCCUGCCAGUCAGCCUGUGGCCUGCCAGGUUUCGCUUGUGGACCAGAGUUCUUUAGAAGCCUCACCCAGAGGGGCGAGCAAGGCCUCAGUGGCUUUGUGCCAGGCUGCUUCUAGGCACUC